CACCUGUCUGAGACUUUCAAACCUAACUCUCACUUGACUACGAUUGACACCAGCACCUCCUUCGACACCUCGAGCUUAUUCUCCGAUCUGAGCCGCCUUGAGCUCGUUCUCCGACCCGAGCUCGUUCUCCGGGUUCAGCUCUUUCUCUCUCGCUCUUCCUUGAAACCCUAGAGCUCUCCUCCUUCUCUCUUUCUGCGGCUACUGUCUCUCCUUCAUUAACCUGGCCUCCUCUGUCCCCUCACUGGCGUCAUCGCCUCUGACGGUGCUUCUCGUCCAACGCCACCACUUUUUUGCUUCGAGAUUUGAAACCAACCCGCCUCCAAGGAGUCUAUCCUCCUCGAUUGGUGCGACUUCGAGCACCAAAUGCCGGCGAUAGAUAAGAGUUUGAGUAAGAGGAGAAGAGAGAGGAAAGAAAGUGAAAGAAUGGAGAGCAGAUACUGGGUGGUGUCUCUGCCUGUCCAAAACUCAACGUCGUAUUUAUGGAACCACCUCCAGGAUCAAAUCUCCAAGCAUUCCUUCGACACUCCCCUCUACAGAUUCAAUAUUCCCAAUCUCUUCUCUCCCUUAGCGACGAUCUCUUAAAGUCCAAAAACUUUGUAGAGGGUGUUUCUCACAAGAUCAGGUGUCAGAUCAAGGAGCUAGAGAGGGUUUUAGGAGUCAAGAGCAGUUCUCUCACGGUGGAUGGAGUUCCAGUGGAUUCAUACCUCACUAGGUUUGUCUAGGAUGAAUCCUAGUUCCCCACAAUGUCUCCUUUGAAGGAGGUUAUCGACAGAAUUCAUGGUCAAGUUGCAAAGAUUGAGGAUGAUCUCAAGGUAAUGCUUUUUACCAAUUUUCAUUUACAUUCGGGUUUGGGUCAUUUUGGUCAUCCUCUUUGUUGUGACUUGUGAGGAGCUUAGCUGUUGUUGUUGUUGUUGUUGUUGUUAUGAAAAGAGCAAAUAAUAGCAUACAGGACUAAAUGAGUAUGGAAAGGGAGUUGCAUACUCCCAAAGCUUCCAAAGGUAGUUGCAUUGCUAGAAUCUUGCUUUCAUUUGUAUCUUGAAUGCUUUUUCUCUAAUCUAUUUUUUUGUCAUUGAUGGUUUGGAGUAUGGAAAGGAACUAUUAUUCAUAUCUUGGCAACUAUGACAUUAUCCUUUGAGCGACAGAGGGUACUCGUGACUUUGCAAAAGAACAAAUGACAAUGAGAAAGAAGGCAUUUUCGAUAAUAGAAGAUGUUUUUGAGAGGCAUGGUGCCACAGCCCUGGAUACUCCAGUUUUUGAAUUGAGAGACACUCUCAUGGGCAAAUAUGGGGAAGACUCAAAAUUGAUUUAUGAUCUUGUUGACCAGGUAUGUUGCUAUGAAUGACAUCACAUCCUUUAAAAGGUACCAGAUUUCGAGGCUAUCUAUGUGCUAACAGAACUUCUUGAUGAGCUAAAUAUUGGAGACUAUGAGCAAAGUUGCAGCCCAUCAUUGUUAAAGAUCAUGACCCUCCCCUACCUUAGGGAUAUUACCACCACAUUUCCAAGUUUUGUAUUUAAUUCAGAGGUUGAUGAGAUUGCUACGUGAGAUACAAUAGCUUAGAUUGCAGUUAGAGUUCAAUUGUCAGAAAUUUGGACGAACCUUACAUGAAAUAUGGUUAAAGUGAGUAUCUAUCUCCUCUUUUGCAUAUUUCAGGAAUUAGAAAAGGUUGCUUCUAUGUUUGAAUGACUGGAGUUGGUAUUAAAUAUUCAUAGCAUCUUGGUUAAUCAUUUCUUGAUAAUCUUUAACUUAUGAGCAAUAUACUUGCAGGACAAGAGGCUAGAACAUGUAAAAGCACGGUUAAAUAUGGAGCUCACUAAGGGGGCUGUUUAUUCUUAUUGAAUUCUAGAGCAGGUUCCAAGUUAUUAGAAGCAGGUUCCAAGCUCACUAUGAGUUGCAGUGGCAUCCCAUUAUUAUUCGUUGUUAUGUUUGUGAAGGUUCUUUUAAUUACUCAUUGAGCUGCAAUUACUCAUUUGUUUCCUAAAUUUUCUUUUGCAGAUCCUAAGGGUGCAGGGUAGC